GACGAACGCUGGCGGCACGCCUAACACAUGCAAGUCGAACGGUGAAGGGGGAGCUUGCUCCUCCGGAACAGUGGCGGACGGGUGAGUAACACGUGAGCAACCUGCCUUUCAGAGGGGGACAACAGUUGGAAACGACUGCUAAUACCGCAUAACGUAUUUUGGCGGCAUCGCCGGAAUACCAAAGGAGCAAUCCGCUGAAAGAUGGGCUCGCGUCUGAUUAGAUAGUUGGUGAGGUAACGGCUCACCAAGUCGACGAUCAGUAGCCGGACUGAGAGGUUGAACGGCCACAUUGGGACUGAGACACGGCCCAG
rnacentral:rRNA from 1 species